GGGACAGUAGCUCAAUGGUAGAGCAGUUGCCUUUUAAGCAAUUGGUUCGGGGUUCGAGUCCCCGCUGUCCCACCA
rnacentral:tRNA from 1 species